ACGGUUACAACUUAUGCUAUUCCCUAUGGAUUCAAAUUCCUCUCUCCCACGUUUUGUUACAUUGUUUCAGGUUUAGUUCCUUCCCCUUCCCCACCUUUUGAUUAUCACGGUUUCAGCUUCUAUUCUGUUGUUUCACUCACGGUUUCAUCUUCCUAUUCUACGGUUUUAGCUUCUGUUUUGGCUUCUAAUGGCAACCUCUCUGUCUUCCUUCUUCUCCUCACAUCUAUAUAAAUACUGAUGUAAGCUGGGUGGUUCAAUUGAGGGGCGGCGGCAGGCUUCACACUUGGAGACGGGGGAUGGAUAUUGAACCUGAUCGUAUAUCUGAUUUUGGUGUUCAAUUUGAAAAACAUAAAUGCUGCUCAGAUUUCAAACGUAGUGAGUUGUAGCACCAAUUUGCUUCCGGUCAUUGGAGCAAUUGUUGCUAACUCUUUCUUUGCUACUUUCCCUGUUGCUGCAGUUUCUACCUGUAUCUCUUUGCUGGUAAUACUCUUUACAGUGUUGCAACUUGCAAGAUGCACAGUCUAUUGUGUGUGUAGUUUGCUUGCUAGACUCUCUGUUAUGCGUUUAUCUCGAGUUAUAUUUAAUUUUUCAAUAUAAUUGAUUGAUUGAUAUUUU